CAGUAGCCGCGGUAAUACGAGGGGUGCAAGCGUUAAUCGGAAUUACUGGGCGUAAAGCGUGCGUAGGCGGUGAGUUAAGUCUGCUGUGAAAUCCCCGGGCUCAACCUGGGAAUGGCAGUGGAUACUGGCUCGCUAGAGUGUGUCAGAGGAUGGUGGAAUUCCCGGUGUAGCAGUGAAAUGCGUAGAGAUCGGGAGGAACAUCAGUGGCGGAGGCGGCCAUCUGGGACAACACUGACGCUGAGGCACGAAAGCGUGGGGAGCAAACAGGAUUAGAUACCCCCGUAGUCCCUGUCUCUUAUAC
rnacentral:rRNA from 1 species